CCGCCAUGCCGCCGGAGCACGAUUUCUGUCUUCAACCUGAAGCAAAGUUCUUAACCCGAGGUACUAUUUCUGGGUUAGUGGAGUCUGUAACCUGAAGCGUAUGUAACCCGAGGUACCACUGCACACUCUUCUUUAUUAACUUAAGAACCUGACUAAGACUAAGUGAUUUACCGGGGGGACCUGGUUGGUGGCAGCAGAUUAGUGGUGUACGUGUCAAUAGUCCAUGAGACGACCGGGGGCUCCGUACGAACACCACAGCCACCAACUUGGAUGGCUUUAGAGGAGGAUUGGACAAAUUCAUGGAGAAUAGGGCUAUCAAUGGCUACCAGCCAUGAUGACUAUGGUUUACUUCCACAGUUGGAGGCAACAAUGUUCUGAAUUCCAGUUGCUGGAAGCCAUGGGAGGGGAGAGGCCUCUUGAGCUCAUGUUCUCCUCCCUGGUUUUCCACAGGCAUUUGUUUGGCCACUGUGAGAACAAGAUAUUGAACUAGAUGGACCUUUUUUUAUUAUUAUUUCACACAAUACAAAACCACUUCUGGAAAUCAAGGGAAUCUUGCAGAAUUUUUGUGUGCAGUUCCAUGUUAAUUGUAUUCAGGAAAAAAACAAAUCUAUUGGCAACCCCAUUAACUCAGAAACUCGUGGGAAUGGAUGAACUUUAGGGUGGUAUACCAUACCUUCCAACACGACAUGGCCCAAAUCCAGGAUGCCAUUUUCUGGGUCCACACCUGUGCGAUAUUGUGCCCCCCCAAAAACCACUUUUUCUAGGCAUGGUGCCCCAAAAUGUGUGUCUUGGGGUGCCACACAAGAUCAAUACCCUGAAAAAAAUGCUUUUUUUGGAGGGGCAGUGAUCUUGCAUGGUGCCCCAAAACACAUGUUUUUCAGUGCCAUGCCCCCCCCCCAAAUAUUCAGCCCAAAAUCAUGGAAAAUCGCUACGACCAUUUUGGACGCUGUUCUUUUGCAAGAGAAGAUGUCCCAUUUCUUUCCAGGGCAGAUGAUGGUUACAAUGUACAGCCAUGCAGUUCCUUCCUACGAUUUAAUCAAUCAAACAGCCAGAGUUCCAUAAUGCAACAGGUAAUGCAUUGCAGAAUGAACAUUAAAAACCGGGCCAGUAUUAAAACCGGGAAAGCGAACACAAUAACCCCCACAUCUGAAUCCACCCUCAAUGUAAGCCUUCUACCCUCUGUACCUCCCAGCUGAUAGAGCAGCCAUGAAAACGCCAGCUUUUGUACCCAAUAUGUUCUAUUGCUACUGAAUAGGUC